GAUCCCCCUUCAUAGUGGAUAUGGAAUCCCCUCCUUGGAGAUGGACAAGGAGGAACUAACAAUGUUCUGAACAGAUUUGAAGUAUUAGGCAUAUGGAUUAGGAACACAUUUAUGGACUUUAUGUCAUAAAUGUCUUAUCUUUUCAAAAGAAUAUUGGGUGGCAGAGGAAGUCACUUUAUUAACUGCUAUGAAUGAGACUUCCAAAUGGUAAAACUAGAAAGCGGAGUAGUGCAUUAAUAAUAUCUUCGCUGCCUCCAGGCCGAUAUCAGCUCGAUGAAGUCUGUAAACUGUGGAACACCAUCUUUCAAGAUUUCAGCUUAUUUUGAUUGCCAAAUGACU